AACUGCGAUGAUUUAGUCUGGCUGUGUAGAUAACUACGUGAAAAUGUAGCUAAGGGAAGGCAGAAUAAGACGCAUGACUAUCAGUUAGUUGGUAGUGUAAUGGACUACCAAGACAGUGACGGUUGACGGGAAAUUAGGGUUUUGUACCGGAGAGGGAGCCUGAGAGAUUGCUCCCACGUCCAAGGACGGCAGCAGGCGCGAAAAUUGCCCACUCUUUGCAGGAGGCAGUUAUGAGACGUGAAGAUGAGUAUCUUGUAAAGAGGGAUAGGAGAAUUGGAGGGCAAGUUUGGUGCCAGCAGCCGCGGUAAUACCGACUCCAAGAGUGUGUAUGAGAGAUGCUGCAGUUAAAAAGUCCGUAGUCAUAGAAGGGCAAAGAGAGAUGCGAGGUCUCACAGUGCGAUGAUGGAGGAGCCGAUGGGGAACAUAGUAUACCAGGGCGAGAGAUGAAAUGCCAAGACCCCUGGUGGACUGAGCGAGGCGAAGGCGAUGUUCUUGUAGGCAUUCGGUGAUCAAGGACGAAGGCUGGAGUAUCGAAAGUGAUUAGAUACCGCAGUAGUUCCAGCAGUAAAAGAUGCCGACAUGCUCAUUGGACACAGUGGGCAGGGAGAAAUCUUAGAGUUCGGGCUCUGGGGAUAGUAUGCUCGCAAGGGUGAAAAUUAAAGAAAUUGACGGAGCUACACCACAAGGAGUGGAUUGUGCGGCUUAAUUUGACUCAACGCGAGGAAACUUACCAGGGCCAAGUA
rnacentral:rRNA from 1 species